rnacentral:rRNA from 1 species
AGAGUUUGAUCAUGGCUCAGAUUGAACGCUGGCGGCGUGCCUAACACAUGCAAGUCGAGCGGUAACAGGCGUAGCAAUACGUGCUGACGAGCGGCGAACGGGUGAGUAACGCUUCGGAAUCUGCCCAAUGGUGGGGAAUAACCAGCCGAAAGGUUGGCUAAUUCCGCAUGAGCCCUACGGGGGAAAGCGGGGGAUCGCAAGACCUCGCGCCGAUGGAUGAGCCGAAGCCGGAUUAGCUAGUUGGUAGGGUAACGGCCUACCAAGGCGACGAUCCGUAGCUGGUCUGAGAGGACGACCAGCCACACUGGGACUGAGACACGGCCCAGACUCCUACGGGAGGCAGCAGUGGGGAAUAUUGGACAAUGGGGGAAACCCUGAUCCAGCGACGCCGCGUGUGUGAAGAAGGCCUGCGGGUUGUAAAGCACUUUUAGUGGGGAUGAAAAGCUCAGGGCUAACACCUCUGAGUCUUGACCUAACCCACAGAAAAAGCACCGGCUAACUCUGUGCCAGCAGCCGCGGUAAUACAGAGGGUGCAAGCGUUAAUCGGAAUUACUGGGCGUAAAGCGUACGUAGACGGUUGGAUAAGUCGGAUGUGAAAGCCCCGGGCUCAACCUGGGAAUGGCAUUCGAGACUGUUCAGCUAGGGUGCGGAAGAGGGAAGCGGAAUUUCCGGUGUAGCGGUGAAAUGCGUAGAUAUCGGAAGGAACACCAGUGGCGAAAGCGGCUUCCUGGUCCAGCACCGACGUUCAGGUACGAAAGCAUGGGGAGCAAACAGGAUUAGAUACCCUAGUAGUCC